GCCCUCUUAGCUCAGUCAGGUCUAGAGCACCGCACUUCCAAUGCGGGGACGCCGGUUCGAAUCCGGCAUGGGGCU
rnacentral:tRNA from 1 species